GACGAACGUCGAACAUUGUAACGCGAUAUCCCCUCGUCGAGAGAGGAAUGUCCUCUGGAACAUCGUGAAGGAUUAAUAGCAUUCUCUGCGGGGCAUACCUUGGCUCGGCCGGUCGAGCUGCAUCCACUCGAGGCAGAAUACACUCACUGAACGAAUUCUGGCACCGUACGAAUCCUCCCGAACGAUCUUGAUCACUGGCGCUCCGCUCUGGUUUCGAUCACUCGCACAGUAGACGAUCCCGCGGUCGAUUCGUGUCCUCUCGAGCCGCCGACACUUCACUGUCCCGCUCUGUACGCCGGAAUUUACUUUCCGCGGUCCCGUUCAUCGCGUUUCGUCGGCUCGCGAAUAUUUCCGACUCUCGCGGGGCCGACCGUUUUCGCGUAUUUUUAGGAAAAUUAUGCAACGCCGGAAAACACCGCGCCACUAUCCCGUUUUCUGCUUCCUCGGGACGCCAUCCGUCUCCGCUCUCCCUGGAGAUGCUUGCGAAACGAUCGGGAGAGCAUUGGCUGUCUACCUUGAUCUACCGUUUCCUCGCUCCUACUCGACGCUGGUAUCGCUCCGUCGGAGAUGAGACGCGACGACUUCGCUCGAAAACACGAGUCACGGACGAUCCGCCAAGUUCCCAGUUCCGUUGGACGGUUCCGCGGCACUCUGCGUACGUUCCUUCGUUCGGUCGACGAUAUUUUCGUCGCACGCGACGACGACGACGACGUGUCCGCGAGACGAGAUGAGAACGAACGAGAUGGAAACGGUACGGGAGAGGGAACGAGUUAAAGGGAAUAUCCAUCGGUCGGCCUAUAUCCGGAGCGACUCCUCUCGCACGGUUAGUUCGUCUACCGCCGAGUACAGGGUGUUCAGUGUCGAUACUUCUACGAAGAUUAUCUCUUAGUGAUGUUCGAAACGCGGGAGGGAUCCGCGUCUUCGACCAUGUAUCCCGUUCUCACCAGUAGUACUCAUCACUCGUCGUUAAACUGUGAUACGAAAUCUCGAAUAGUGAAACAACCUUUUUCAAAACUAUUUCCAAGAGCCGUCUUUCCUAUCCAACACGAGUGUGAUACGAAAUUCUGAACAAAAGUGAAACAUUCUUCUUCAAAAAUGCUGAUUGAAAAUUAACAGGCAGGACUUGUGCUGCAGUAUUUUGGACAAAAGUCCGGAUAGAAGGGGCCCGAAGAAACGUCACAAUCGUGAUAUUACCCAUCGGGUCGUCGUUGCGCGUGACUUCUACAGGGAAACCUCCAACAGUGAAAACUUUGAUCGUUGGCCCGUGGCGCUCAUAACUCAAAUUAUACGUACUUCGAAUUCUCCUUGUACGUGGAACCUCAACUCCUUGUACCUCCAGCCUUGUAUUAUUAAAGUGGUGAACAAUGAAAGGUACAAUCGAUGAGUGAGAAACAAUCAAAUGGUGGGGAUAACAACGCGCAGCUAACGAGGCAGAAGCCGGUGGCAGUUAGCGAGGCAUUACGGUAUCUGUACAUAGAGAUCACGGAAACUCGCCCGACAGCGACGUCGAGCCACUCCCGUGCCGCAUUAACAAGUUCUCGCACGCUUAUUCCGCUUCCGUUUGGUUACCAAAGCGACAGAGCUCAGAUAUGCAAAUGGAGAAAAAAGAAUAGAACUAGGGGAGGGGGGCGAAAGAAAAAUUUUUAAACGAACGAAAGAAAAACGGAAGAAAAAGGCUCGAGAGGAAGUGGAUCACUCGUCUAGGUAGAAAACGGUGCCCGUUAACGAGUCCAUAAAUAAUUGAUUCGGAAACUUGCAAACAAAACCAACGUGCUGGCUUGUCGGCUAAUGCGGCACUGUCAGCCUCGUCUUUCUCUCCUCUCGAGUACCUUUUUCCCUUUCUUUUCCGCACGGGUCCUGCGCCGCUCUUCAAAGCGGUUUAUAAAAUCCAUUAUCCCUCCUCCGAUAAAUAUUAAACCACUCUUAUCGCUUUCGUUCCCGCGCGUGAAAUUGUUCCGUUCGACACUCGUCCCGCCGUUAAUGGCCUCGUUAUCGAUUCCGCGACCGUCAAAGGAAACACCGCGGAAAGAAGGGGUUGCCUUGCUUGGCCCUUCGAAUCCGUUCCUCUUCCACCAAAUUUGUCCCGCGAGCUUUUUAAUUAAUUUUUAACGCCGCCCAAUUAGGCCGGCUUUGAUUCCCCUGACGUCCCAUUUCCAUCGCACCAGCUGAAACGAGAGUACCGAUGGAAUCGAGAAAUGUUUAGAUACCACGGCGGAACCUCAACUGCUGCAUCACUGUGUAGCGCCGACAGAGAUGCGAUAUUUGAAGCUUUCACGCUCUGGGUUCUGACAGUUGAUAUUCCUUGAGGCUUCCAGGUGUAAGUCGUGCCCUUUGCGAAAAGAAUUCCUACGUUUCGCAAGCAUUCCUAGCUUUUUCGUUCUUCGUUUCAAGGAAAUGGCACUCUGAUAUUGGUUCAUCUAGUUCGGAUCCAUUUAGUGUACCUUUGGUCGUAUCAUGGAUCAUUAGUUACCAAUUACUGGACUAUGGGGUAAGUAACAUUGGAUUUCAAUUGGAUUCGAAUUUCUGAGUGGAGUAAUAUUGCUUUUUUAAUUUUAUAUUUUAUGUAAGACAGGAAAUUAUCUUCAAGUAAAUUAUAUACAUUUUAUUUAUUUUUUUCUUUAGUAUCACGUUAAGUUGAGUGCUAAUCAGUUGGUCAAUUAUGUGAACAUUAUUGUCUUAUCUGAACACUUUUAAUUUGAAUUUGUUCAGAUGAGGAAAUAAUUAGAUUGGUCCCAUCGCUAGCGACGAUAAAGUAACGAUAAUUUCUGUGUUCCAGAUGAAUUCUUGUUAGCCCGAAACAUGAAGGCAGCUCGAGUUUGUUUUCCUUCGCGAAAGCACGAGAAUUUAUGGUUAAUAUUUCCUCGCUGUUCACCCCGUUCACGAGCGAUUCCGUGUUCCGUUUGUCGGCUGAGAUCGUUCCUCGAGCCAUUCCUGAGGUUGAGCGAUGAAAGAAUCUCGUGUCUCGUUCCACAUCUGAUCCUCGAACGGAAAUACGUGACCAACGUUCCUGUUUCAUAAACGCUUAUCAGGUGGAAAUUGACACCUGCUAUAUAAGAGGAGUUUUCCAAAAACUGUCUGGGGAAUGAAGAAAGUAUUAUCUCUAAAAAGUAUCGCUAUGUUUCGUUUUUGAUAAAUAAAAUUAUAGAGAGAAUACACAGUACAUGUACGAAUGUAAAAUAAAUAUUAUAGGUUAUUCUAAUUAACUAAUGUUGUAUGAAGAAAAUUGAAAAUUUGUCUGAAGUACAUGUUACAAACCAUCAUAUUCAUUUUAAAUUUGUCACUGCAUCUUAUUAUUUCAAAGUAGUAUUUAUUGCAACACUUUUUACAUUUUUUUUUUAAAUUUUUUAUCUAAUUUUAAUAUCCUGGUAUCUGAAUCGAACAGAAGUUAAUAAUUGAAGUUAAGUUGCAAUAAUCUUUACAUGAAAAUAAUUACUACUUAAUUAUUAUGUAGAAUACUUAUGUUCUAUCGAUAUUAACUAUCAAGUAUUUUCCUCGGAAUUAUCUUUAUUGCAAAAACAUAAUAUUCAAAAAUAUAAUAAUACCACUUAUUCAAAAAUAAUUUCUAUUUAAUCAUUUCAAGAAUUACUAUACGAGUUCGUUUCAGAUCUCCAAAAACGAUAUGUUCUUUGUACAGAAACAUGCAUAAAAAAAAAGUAUUCUUCUAUAAAAUAAAAUCAUAUUUUUCACAUAGAAAAUAAAAUAAUUUUUCUAUUAGAUUUUUA